GGGGUCUGGUCCUCUCUGGCCCCCAUCCCCGGAGGUCGCUGCCCCUUCCCGCGGCCCUCAGUAGGGGUAGGGGGACACGGCGAUGAGCAGGACGAAGACGCUCUGGUGGCGCGGCGCCGCGGCGUGCACGGUUACAAUUUGCUGAACCGGGUCCCUAUUAGCGGACAUUUAGCUUGUUUCCAGUGAAGCCCUGACAUCUGCUAGAAGUGCCUCUGCUUGACACCUGGGUACCUGGCAGACGUGGACUCUCACCCACAGACCCCCCAGAACGGCUAGAAUGAAAAGGAUGGAAGAUGCCCAGUGCGGGUGAGGCCCAGCCAGACUCUCGCCCUGCGGGGGGGGAUGCGUGUCAUCACUGCGGAAACCAUUUGCCAGCGUAUUCGUUUCCUGUGGCUGCUGAAACAAAUGGCCACAGACUUGAUGGUUUAAAGCAGCAAAAAUUUGUUCUCACACAGUUCUGGAGGCCAGAAGUCCCAGGUCAAUCGUUUCUCGGGGCUAAAGUCAAAGCGCUGUGCUCCUUCCAGGGCUCCGGGGGAGGAGCUGCUCCUCACCUCUUACAGCUUUUGGGGGGCUUCUAGCAAUCUGCGGCUGGACUCCUGUGGCCGCAUCGCUGCAUUGUCUACCUACACCUUAACAUCUGAUUCCCCUCUCUUGCUUCCCGCGUCUCUGUGUGUGUGUCUCCUUCUAAUGCCCCUCUGCUUCUCUCUUAAAGAACACUUGCUA